GGAAGUAAAAGUCCUAACAAGGUUUCCGUAGGUGAACCUGCGGAAGGAUCAUUAUUGUAUAACCGAGGUGCGAGGGCUGUCGCUGACCCGAAAGGUCGUGCACGUCCGAGUGCCCUCACACACAUCCAUCUCACCCCUAUGUGCACCACCGCGUGGGUCCCCCUUUGGCUUGUUCGGAGGGGGGCUUACGUUUUCACACAAACUUUGUAUGCAGUGUAGAAUGUAUUUUUUGUUUUUGCGAUCACGCAAUCAAUACAACUUUCAACAACGGAUCUCUUGGCUCUC
rnacentral:misc_RNA from 1 species